UCGGAUAUGGUGUAAUGGCUAACAUUACCGCCUCUCAUUUCGAGGGCGCGCGGUAGCUCGGGGUUCGAUUCCCCGUAUCCGAA